GCCCGUGGUCAAACCCUAGCUCCCCUCUCGCGUCUCCCCCAAUCAGCUCCCGCUUCUCCUCCCCCAAGCCAGCCGCCGCCCUCCUCAUCUCCCCGUCCAGCCGCCGCUUCACCUGCAUCCAUCUCUCCCCCAAUCCCCACCUGCUCCGGUCCCUUUCUCCUCCUCUACCCUGUCUCUCGGUUUUCUCCAUGGAUGUACCAUGGCGAGAGAGGCGGAGGGCAGGAGCUGCACCAUGGCUGGAGAGCCGGAGCUCGACGUGGAGGAGUACGCAGAGAAGCGGCAGACCGAUGUUCUCUCCCUCCUCCUCAACGCGCAGCAAGAGGAGCAGAUGGUGCCGCCAUCUUGGGGGCAACACGUUGGCUGCCACUGCAGAGAUAGACGAGGUCAGCAAGCCAAGCUAGAUCUACUUGGAAAUCUGAAUUGUAGUGUAUACCAACCAAGUUGCAGAUUCCUUACAUGUUUAGGGAAGGCAAUCAACAACAAGUUCUAGAAAAAAUAGAGGUUGCCAUUCAGGCGUGACAUUAUUGGAGCCAUCUCAUGGGGCUUUUUGUGUUGUCUCCUCAUAUUAACCUCACACAUGAUGCUAUACUUCAGGCCCUCGGGUGCUCGAUGUAUAGGCUAUGUUGUGUUCUUUUGCUUCUCUUCAUUACCUGGUUGGAUAAUUUGUCAUUGUGGAUAUGGAGAAAUGCUAGUUGUUACCAUCAGGUUAUGUUCUUAUCCAUGAGGAACAGUUGGGCUCCAGCUGUCUCAACACUUGAAUUAUUUGUGGUUUAGUUUGCUGAUUUAUUUUUCUUUUCAUUCAUUAAUUAAUAUACUACAUGGUGCAACUAUUAUUACGGCUGAUGUUACUGUCUUCAUUGUGUAAGCACUAGCUGUUGUGUGUACUUUAUUUUUUCAAGGUGCAUGAUCGCAAUUGUUGUGUGUAUAUCACGUGAGGCAAGUUUCAGGGUUCUGUUUGGACCAUCCUUUCUGAUCUUUGUUUCGGUUAUUGCAGAUUUAUUUGAUGGAGUUUGGUUAUGUUACGUGACUUAUGUCUUUGACAUUCGACGGAAAUGAAUCAAUAAAAUGCAGUAUGCAGAAGACCUUGAUAUAUCAAACUAUAGUGACAUGUAAUCUGGCUUGCAACUGAGAAGUUUAACCAUGCUUGUGUGACACCGUCUGGGAUGUUCCCUUCUCAGCCCCUGCUAAGAGUGCAACAAUUAAAAAAAAUUAAGUGAUUCCCAGAUCAUAUUAUUUACCUUCAUUCAGGAAAUAGACUACUACAAGAAAUGACUACGUAUGUAUGAAUCUUCCUUCAUCUAUGGUUGUUUAAUGCAGUGUAGUUGCUGUAUCUAUUCUGCUUUCCUUUGCUUACAUGUCAUACAGAAAUUAUCAUUAAGGUAUUGAAAAUAUUGGUCUACGGUGCACUAGCUUAAAAGUGGUCUUAUAGCAACAGACGGUACUGAUGAAGCUGAAUUUAUUCUUUGUGGAAAUUAGGUUGAGCAGCUCAUUGGUACCGCCACAAGAGUCAAUAUAUUAUUUGUGGAAAUAAGGUGCGAGUUAUUGCAAGGAACUGUCCCAUAAAUAUCAAUUCCUUUCUUGCUGCUACAUGCAUACAGUUGCCAUUCCAUAUAGAUGAAGCAUGUGCAUUUCUUUUUCUCUGUUCUGCUUUCGUUGUUAUAGCAAGAUUUCUAGAAACAUAAGCUCAGCCUAAUUGUUUUACUGGUGCCUUCUCUUUAAUCAUAUAAAUAUUAGAGUCGAUCUCAUCUUAAUUUCCUCCCAUUUAUUUCUUACAGUUUGUUUACUUUUUAACCAUGGCUUCAAGCCUAGCUUUUUAGUGUACAUACUUUUUAACCAUGGCUUCAAGCCUAGCUUUUUAGUGUACAUACCUUGUAUGGACGAGUCAAGGAGGUGCCAUCCGUGAGUUAAGGAAUUCUUUAUGAGCAACGCUCAAUUCUGAAUAUUUAUUCUCUUCCUUUCAAUAUUCAGUCAAGGAAAGCGUAUAACUUAUCUGUCCAUGACAAUGAGGUAUUGAAAGCAAGCGAUUCUCUACUGAAAGUAUGUUGCUCCACAGUAAAUACCUUUAUUCUUCGUGGCCAAGAUUGAUUCUUUUUGCACUGCUGGCUGCUUGAUUAUGUUGAAGUGAUUCUUUAUCAGGUCAACUCAAUGGAAUGGUUGGGCAAGGAGGAAGAGGCUCCUGUGGUCGACGUCGUUGGCAGCAGGUUGACGGUGCCAUUCAGCUCACGGAGGCAGGUCGACGUGGGUGACCACCUGGAGCAACUCGCACAUCAAAAAGAUGCACCAGGGUACAGAGGAGCUAAAGGACACACUGGUAUGACACAAGGCUCACUGGAACUGUCGGAAACGUCACCGGAGUGCUGUCGGAGUUGGAGAAGAUGAUGCCUGAUCUCCUCGGUUACUACGAGAUGGAGCAGGAAAUGAGGUCCCUGAGGAUCAGAGAAGCAUGGGCAACAAAAAUGAUUCAGGCAGGUUCCUCUGACCUUUCCUGUAGGAUGCUCACCUGCGGCAAUGGCGUGAAUGGCAGCUUGGGCGAUUUGGGGUUUGCAGAGGUCCGGGGAAGAGAGGAAAAGGAGAGCUAGGUCACGGGGAAGGUUUUUAAAGGUGAAGGGGGCGGUGUGGAUGGCCUGGUCAUCGAUGAACGGCGAGCAUCCUGCCGCUGCGCUGCCCGGUGGAGUGGUGCCACGAGGAAGACGACUGACUGAGGAGAGAGAAGUGCUUCUCCUGUUCCAUAAAUUAAUUGAGUACAAGGAAAAGGAUCGGAGGGGAUUCACUAGAACAUAAUACGUUAUUUCCUUUCCUAUUGUUUCUAAUUCACACAAGUUUCUGCCUAACAACUAAUGAGCAUAUAGUUGUUAUAUGAAUUGUGACAACCUGCAGUUUCAAUUUUACGGUUGCUUAUUAUUAGAUAAAGUAGUAAUAUGUAAAUUUCAUGGGAAGCUUAUUAAUUGCGAAUUUUUAGAUACUGUAUUAUUUUUCGGCAGAUGUCUAUAUUUUGUACUUCCUCUGGUGUUGUAGGCCAUUGCUGCAUCGAAACAAUAGUGCAUUCCCAUAAGGUACUGAUCUGGUGUUCGGUCGAAUUUGAAUUGAUGUAGCUUUACCAAACUACUCAUACUAUUAUUUAGUAAUUAUAUAUUGAUAUGUCUAGGUAAUAAUCUUUAGCAAGAUUAGUUCUUCCUUUAAAGAUUUCGUACAUUCCUUACCAAGAUUCUAUUUUUCUAACAUUGAUGCAAAUGUAAUUGACUUGUAGUAUUCCAUAGGGACUAGAUAUUUCGAUGAAAUUGCAGAUCGAUGACAAGUGAAAUUCCUAGGGGUUCCUUGGUAUGCGCAACUGUUUUGUUCAGACUGUAACAACUUCAAACUGAAAAUUUUGUCUACUUUUGAUUAUUGAUACCCCAUACUGUUGGCAUCUGCACCAGUAUGGCAUCUCUGUUGUUGCUGUUGAAAUUACCAAGUACAGUUCCAUCCAAACCCAACCUUGGAAGUAUAAUUGGCUCAUGUUUAUGCUGAUGCUUACUGAGUGAGACUCCUCUUUCUAACCAUUAUUAUUAUGACAUUGUAUUGAAUGUUCUCCAGGGAUGUCUCAUUUAACUACAUAGUUCACACAUAGCCUGUUUCUUUUCUGCAAUCAUUGGUACUCCAGGAUUUCCUCUUCAUUGGCUUGUUAAACUGCAGGUGCAGGUCAUUGCACAUGUCCCUGUGAAUCCAUUAGAAACACGCAUGCUAAAGUGGGAACAGAAAAGAGUGAUGGUUCCAGGCUUAAGUCCUCGGUGAAGAAAGCUAUGUUGGAUGUUGGGUGCAGAGACCAAGAACAAAAAGGAUUAGCUCUGUGCUCACAGGAUGGCGACGAAUAAUGACAUGGCAGCCCCUCCUACGAGUGCUGGACUAGACUGCAUACAGGUGCUGCUUCGUCAGGUCAAUUCUUCCACGCAAGACGGGGAGGCCUUCAUCGAGCUUCAUGGAACCCUUCGCUGCUCCUUGCUUCUUCCGGCGGUUCUCAUGAUUUCGUGUGUAUUAUCCUAAUUUGAUCCUAUAGACUUUGUUUUGUAAAAUCAGAGAAACCUAUUACCAUUUUUUCAACUUAUUUUAUCAUCGUUAUAUAAAAUGUACAUCGUUGCGAAUUUCA